rnacentral:rRNA from 1 species
GACGAACGCUGGCGGCGUGCUUAACACAUGCCAGUCGAACGGAAAGGCCUUUUCGGAGGUACUCGAGUGGCGAACGGGUGAGUAACACGUGGGUGAUCUGCCCUGCACUCUGGGAUAAGCCUGGGAAACUGGGUCUAAUACCGGAUAGGACCGCACUUUAGUGUGUGUGGUGGAAAGUUUUUUCGGUGUAGGAUGAGCCCGCGGCCUAUCAGCUUGUUGGUGGGGUAAUGGCCUACCAAGGCGGCGACGGGUAGCCGGACUGAGAGGUUGGUCGGCCACAUUGGGACUGAGAUACGGCCCAGACUCCUACGGGAGGCAGCAGUGGGGAAUAUUGCACAAUGGGCGCAAGUCUGAUGCAGCGACGCCGCGUGGGGGAUGACGGCCUUCGGGUUGUAAACUCCUUUCGCCAGGGACGAAGCGUUUUGUGACGGUACCUGGAGAAGAAGCACCGGCUAACUACGUG